UGGAGCAAAGCCUGAUCAGCCAUGCCGCGUGUGUGANAAGGUCUUCGGAUUGUAAAGCACUUUUGUUUGGGAGGAAGGGUUGUAGAUUAAUACUCUGCGGUUUUGACGUUACCGACAAAAUAAGCACCGGCUAACUCUGUGCCACCAGCCCCGGUAAUACAGAGGGUGCAAGCGUUAAUCGGAAUUACUGGGCGUAAAGCGCGCGUACGUGGUUCGUUAAGUUGGAUGUGAAAUCCCCGGGCUCAACCUGGGAACUGCAUCCAAAACUGGGGAGCUAGAGUAUGGUAGAGGGUGGUGGAAUUUCCUGUGUAGCGGUGAAAUGCGUAUAUAUAUGAAGGAACACCAGUGGCGAAGGCGACCACCUGGACUGAUACUGACACUGAGGUGCGAAAGCGUGGGGAGCAAACAAGAUUAAAUACCCUGGUAGUCCACGCCGUAAACGAUGUCUACUAGCCGUUGGGAGCCUUGAGCUCUUANUGGCGCAACUAACGCAUUAAGUUGACCGCCUGGGGAGUACGGCCGCAAGGUUAAAACUCAAAUGAAUUGACGGG
rnacentral:rRNA from 1 species